AACGCUAGCUACAGGCUUAACACAUGCAAGUCGAGGGGAAACGAUAUUGGAAGCUUGCUUCCGAUAGGCGUCGACCGGCGCACGGGUGAGUAACGCGUAUCCAACCUUCCCGCAACUGGGGAAUAACCUUGCGAAAGUAAGACUAAUACCCCAUGGCCUCCACGGAUGGCAUCUGAAGUGGAGUAAAGGUUCCGGCCGGUUGCGGAUGGGGAUGCGUCCGAUUAGCUUGACGGCGGGGUAACGGCCCACCGUGGCAUCGAUCGGUAGGGGUUCUGAGAGGAAGGUCCCCCACAUUGGAACUGAGACACGGUCCAAACUCCUACGGGAGGCAGCAGUGAGGAAUAUUGGUCAAUGGGCGGAAGCCUGAACCAGCCAAGUAGCGUGAAGGACGACUGCCCUAUGGGUUGUAAACUUCUUUUAUGCGGGGAUAAAGUUCGCCACGUGUGGCGUUUUGCAGGUACCGCAUGAAUAAGGACCGGCUAAUUCCGUGCCAGCAGCCGCGGUAAUACGGAAGGUCCAGGCGUUAUCCGGAUUCAUUGGGUUUAAAGGGAGCGUAGGCCGCCUUUUAAGCGUGUUGUGAAAUGUAGGGGCUCAACCCCUGCACUGCAGCGCGAACUGGAGGGCUUGAGUACACACAAAGUAGGCGGAAUUCAUGGUGUAGCGGUGAAAUGCUUAGAUAUCACGAAGAACUCCGAUUGCGAAGGCAGCUCACUGGAGCGCAACUGACGCUGAAGCUCGAAAGUGCGGGUAUCGAACAGGAUUAGAUACCCUGGUAGUCCGCACGGUAAACGAUGGAUGCCCGCUGUUGGCCUGAAUAGGUCAGCGGCCAAGCGAAAGCAUUAAGCAUCCCACCUGGGGAGUACGCCGGCAACGGUGAAACUCAAAGGAAUUGACGGGGGCCCGCACAAGCGGAGGAACAUGUGGUUUAAUUCGAUGAUACGCGAGGAACCUUACCCGGGCUUGAAUUGCAGAGGAAGGAUUUGGAGACAAUGACGCCCUUCGGGGUCUCUGUGAAGGUGCUGCAUGGUUGUCGUCAGCUCGUGCCGUGAGGUGUCGGCUUAAGUGC
rnacentral:rRNA from 1 species